GAUGAACGCUGGCGGCGUGCCUAAUACAUGCAAGUCGAGCGAACGGACGAGAAGCUUGCUUCUCUGAUGUUAGCGGCGGACGGGUGAGUAACACGUGGAUAACCUACCUAUAAGACUUGGAUAACUUCGGGAAACCGGAGCUAAUACCGGAUAAUAUUUUGAACCGCAUGGUUCAAAAGUGAAAGACGGUCUUGCUGUCACUUAUAGAUGGAUCCGCGCUGCAUUAGCUAGUUGGUAAGGUAACGGCUUACCAAGGCAACGAUGCAUAGCCGACCUGAGAGGGUGAUCGGCCUCACUGGAACUGAGACACGGUCCAGACUCCUACGGGAGGCAGCAGUAGGGAAUCUUCCGCAAUGGGCGAAAGCCUGACGGAGCAACGCCGCGUGAGUGAUGAAGGUCUUCGGAUCGUAAAACUCUGUUAUUAGGGAAGAACAUAUGUGUAAGUAACUGUGCACAUCUUGACGGUACCUAAUCAGAAAGCCACGGCUAACUACGUG
rnacentral:rRNA from 1 species